UAGGGAAUCUUCCACAAUGGACGCAAGUCUGAUGGAGCAACGCCGCGUGAGUGAAGAAGGUUUUCGGACCGUAAAGCUCUGUUGUUGGUGAAGAAGGAUAGAGGUAGUAACUGGCCUUUAUUUGACGGUAAUCAACCAGAAAGUCACGGCUAACUACGUGCCAGCAGCCGCGGUAAUACGUAGGUGGCAAGCGUUGUCCGGAUUUAUUGGGCGUAAAGCGAGCGCAGGCGGAAGAAUAAGUCUGAUGUGAAAGCCCUCGGCUUAACCGAGGAAUUGCAUCGGAAACUGUUUUUCCUUGAGUGCAGAAGAGGAGAGUAGAACUCCAUGUGUAGCGGUGGAAUGCGUAGAUAUAUGGAAGAAUACCAGUGGCGAAGGCGGCUCUCUGGUCUGCAACUGACGCUGAGGCUCGAAAGCAUUGUAGCGAACAGGAUUAGAUACCCUGGUAG
rnacentral:rRNA from 1 species